CCCUUACGCAUUGGGGAGUAGCCUCCCUUCCAGAGAGAAGGGGGAUGCGUCAACAUCCUUGGGUCCUGGACCCAUGGCGCAUCCGGCGAUUGCUUGGCCAGACCUUUGACGUCGAUCGCUUCACCAAGGGGGCUUGGGCGGGGGGUCGUCGUCAUUCGUCGUGACCGCCCAGCCCCC
rnacentral:sRNA from 2 species